rnacentral:rRNA from 1 species
GAGUUUGAUCCUGGCUCAGAUUGAACGCUGGCGGUAUGCUUAACACAUGCAAGUCGAACGGUAACAGGCCUUCGGGCGCUGACGAGUGGCGGACGGGUGAGUAACGCGUAGGAAUCUGCCUUAUAGUGGGGGACAACGUGGGGAAACCCACGCUAAUACCGCAUACGCCCUACGGGGGAAAGGAGGGGAUCUUCGGACCUUUCGCUAUGAGAUGAGCCUGCGUUAGAUUAGCUAGUUGGUAGGGUAAAGGCCUACCAAGGCGACGAUCUAUAGCUGGUCUGAGAGGACGAUCAGCCACACUGGGACUGAGACACGGCCCAGACUCCUACGGGAGGCAGCAGUGGGGAAUAUUGGACAAUGGGCGCAAGCCUGAUCCAGCAAUACCGCGUGUGUGAAGAAGGCCUUCGGGUUGUAAAGCACUUUCAAUGGGGAGGAAAACCUGCCGGUCAAUACCCGGUAGCUUGACAUUACCUUUAGAAGAAGCACCGGCUAACUCCGUGCCAGCAGCCGCGGUAAUACGGAGGGUGCGAGCGUUAAUCGGAAUUACUGGGCGUAAAGCGUGCGUAGGCGGUUCGUUAAGUCAGAUGUGAAAGCCCCGGGCUUAACCUGGGAACUGCAUUUGAAACUGGCGAACUAGAGUUGAGUAGAGGGGAGUGGAAUUUCAGGUGUAGCGGUGAAAUGCGUAGAUAUCUGAAGGAACACCAGUGGCGAAGGCGACUCCCUGGACUCAAACUGACGCUGAGGUACGAAAGCGUGGGUAGCAAACAGGAUUAGAUACCCUGGUAG